rfam:Salmo salar isolate Sally breed double haploid chromosome ssa01, whole genome shotgun sequence.
UGCAUUCACUACUGUAAGUCGCUCUGGAUAAGAGCGUCUGCUAAAUGAUCUAAA